AUUGAACGCUGGCGGCAGGCCUAACACAUGCAAGUCGAACGAGUGGCGGACGGGUGAGUAAUGUCUGGGAAACUGCCCGAUGGAGGGGGAUAACUACUGGAAACGGUAGCUAAUACCAAAAACCAUCGGAUGUGCCCAGAUGGGAUGAGCUUGUAGGUGAGGUAACUGCCCACCUAGGCGCCGAUCCCUCGCUGGUCUGAGAGGCUGACCCGCCACACUGGAAAUGAGACACAGUCCAGACUCCUACGGGAGGCAGCAGUGGGGAAUAUUGCACAAUGGGCGCAAGCCUGAUGCAGCCAUGCCGCGUGUAUGAAGAAGGCCUUCGGGUUGUAAAGUACUUUCAGCGGGGAGGCGUUACACGCAGAAGAAGCACCGGCUAACUCCGUGCCAGAAGCCGCGGUAAUUC
rnacentral:rRNA from 1 species